UGAGGAAUAUUGGUCAAUGGUCGGGAGACUGAACCAGCCAAGCCGCGUGAGGGAUGAAGGUACAGAGUAUCGUAAACCUCUUUUGUCAGGGAACAAAAGGCGCCACGCGUGGCGCUCCGAGUGUACCUGAAGAAAAGCAUCGGCUAACUCCGUGCCAGCAGCCGCGGUAAUACGGAGGAUGCGAGCGUUAUCCGGAUUUAUUGGGUUUAAAGGGUGCGUAGGCGGCGAGUUAAGUCAGCGGUAAAAGCCCGGGGCUCAACCCCGGCCCGCCGUUGAAACUGGCUUGCUUGAGUUGGAGAGAAGUAGGCGGAAUGCGCGGUGUAGCGGUGAAAUGCUUAGAUAUCGCGCAGAACUCCGAUUGCGAAGGCAGCCUACCGGCUCCAGACUGACGCUGAGGCGCGAAAGCGUGGGUAUCGAACAGGAUUAGAUACC
rnacentral:rRNA from 1 species